rnacentral:rRNA from 1 species
UGGCGGACUGGUGAGUAACGCGUGAGGAACUUGCCUUUCAGAGGGGGACAACAGUUGGAAACGACUGCUAAUACCGCAUGACGCAUUUUGAUCGCAUGGUCGAAAUGCCAAAGAUUUAUCGCUGAAAGAUGGCCUCGCGUCUGAUUAGCUAGUUGGUGAGGUAACGGCCCACCAAGGCGACGAUCAGUAGCCGGACUGAGAGGUUGACCGGCCACAUUGGGACUGAGAUACGGCCCAGACUCCUACGGGAGGCAGCAGUGGGGAAUAUUGGGCAAUGGGCGCAAGCCUGACCCAGCAACGCCGCGUGAAGGAAGAAGGCUUUCGGGUUGUAAACUUCUUUUAAGUGGGAAGAGUAGAAGACGGUACCACUUGAAUAAGCCACGGCUAACUACGUGCCAGCAGCCGCGGUAAUACGUAGGUGGCAAGCGUUGUCCGGAUUUACUGGGUGUAAAGGGCGUGCAGCCGGGCAUGCAAGUCAGAUGUGAAAUCUCAGGGCUUAACCCUGAAACUGCAUUUGAAACUGUAUGUCUUGAGUGCCGGAGAGGUAAUCGGAAUUCCUUGUGUAGCGGUGAAAUGCGUAGAUAUAAGGAAGAACACCAGUGGCGAAGGCGGAUUACUGGACGGUAACUGACGGUGAGGCGCGAAAGCGUGGGGAGCGAACAGGAUUAGAUACCCUGGUAGUCCACGCUGUAAACGAUGGAUACUAGGUGUGCGGGGACUGACCCCCUGCGUGCCGCAGUUAACACAAUAAGUAUCCCACCUGGGGAGUACGAUCGCAAGG